CCUACGGGAGGCAGCAGUGGGGAAUUUUGGACAAUGGGCGCAAGCCUGAUCCAGCAAUGCCGCGUGAGUGAAGAAGGCCUUCGGGUUGUAAAGCUCUUUUGUCAGGGAAGAAACGGCUCCAGCUAAUAUCUGGGGCUAAUGACGGUACCUGAAGAAUAAGCACCGGCUAACUACGUGCCAGCAGCCGCGGUAAUACGUAGGGUGCAAGCGUUAAUCGGAAUUACUGGGCGUAAAGCGUGCGCAGGCGGUUUUGUAAGUCUGUCGUGAAAGCCCCGGGCUCAACCUGGGAAUUGCGAUGGAGACUGCAAGGCUUGAAUCUGGCAGAGGGGGGUAGAAUUCCACGUGUAGCAGUGAAAUGCGUAGAGAUGUGGAGGAACACCGAUGGCGAAGGCAGCCCCCUGGGUCAAGAUUGACGCUCAUGCACGAAAGCGUGGGGAGCAAACAGGAUUAGAUACCCUGGUAGUCCACGCCCUAAACGAUGUCUACUAGUUGUCGGGUUUUAAUAACUUGGUAACGCAGCUAACGCGUGAAGUAGACCGCCUGGGGAUACGGUCGCAAGNUUAAAACCGUNAAAUGAAGUUCGACGGCUGAGAGUAGACGACGGACGACGACGAGGGAGGAGG
rnacentral:rRNA from 1 species